rnacentral:rRNA from 1 species
UACGAAGGGGGCUAGCGUUGCUCGGAAUUACUGGGCGUAAAGCGCACGUAGGCGGCUUUCUAAGUCGGGGGUGAAAUCCUGGAGCUCAACUCCAGAACUGCCUUCGAUACUGGAAAGCUCGAGUCCGGGAGAGGUGAGUGGAACUGCGAGUGUAGAGGUGAAAUUCGUAGAUAUUCGGAGGAACACCAGUGGCGAAGGCGGCUCACUGGUCCAUUACUGACGCUGAGGUGCGAAAGCGUGGGGAGCAAACAGG